rnacentral:rRNA from 1 species
AGAGAUCAUGGCUCAGAAUCAACGCUGGCGGCGUGCCUAACACAUGCAAGUCGAACGCGAAAGGGGAGCAAUCCCUGAGUAGAGUGGCAAACGGGUGAGUAACACGUGGGUGACCUGCCUUCGAGUGGGGGAUAACGUCCCGAAAGGGACGCUAAUACCGCAUGACAUCCUGCUUUUGGAAAAGCGGAGAUCAAAGCUGGGGAUCGCAAGACCUGGCGCUUGAAGAGGGGCCCGCGCCUGAUUAGCUAGUUGGUGAGGUAAUGGCUCACCAAGGCUACGAUCAGUAUCCGGCCUGAGAGGGCGGACGGACACACUGGGACUGAGACACGGCCCAGACUCCUACGGGAGGCAGCAGUGGGGAAUUGUUCGCAAUGGGCGCAAGCCUGACGACGCAACGCCGCGUGGAGGAUGAAGAUCUUCGGGUCGUAAACUCCUGUCGAGCGGGAAGAACAGCUUCGGAGUGAAUAUCUCUGAGGCCUGACGGUACCGCUAAAGGAAGCCCCGGCUAACUCCGUGCCAGCAGCCGCGGUAAUACGGGGGGGGCAAGCGUUGUUCGGAAUUACUGGGCGUAAAGGGCUCGUAGGCGGCCAACUAAGUCAGACGUGAAAUCCCCAGGCUCAACCUGGGAACUGCGUCUGAUACUGGAUGGCUUGAAUUCGGGAGAGGGAUGCAGAAUUCCAGGUGUAGCGGUGAAAUGCGUAGAUAUCUGGAGGAAUACCGGUGGCGAAGGCGGCAUCCUGGACCGACAUUGACGCUGAAGAGCGAAGGCUAGGGAGCAAACGGGAUUAGAUACCCCCGGUAGUCCUAGCCCUAAAACGAUGAAUGCUUGGGGUACGGGUAUCGAUCCCUGUUGUGCC